CUCGACCGUGAAACAAGGUACUCCACGAUUGAAACGAGAGUGCCUUGCAGUCAUCUUCGCCAUCAACAAGUUUGACUUCUACCUACGCGCAGAUUCUUGUUUGGGGGGCAGUGUGAGGGGUAACUACGCCCUGCCGGCCUUGUUAAACUGCCGGCCUUGUUAAAUCUACCGGCCUCGUUCCGCCCUGGCUCCUACUUCCGAGCCGACGUCAUAGCCCGGCUAGCGGGCUAAGGCAGACACCAGCUCACCACCACAGAGUGCACACCUCUCCUUCUCAACCUCACGCUGGUCCUUCGUCUCACUGGGAAAGCUGCGUAUCUGGGCUCCUUGCUGCUUCUCCCCUGGCUGUACCGCCCGACCAAGUCACCACUGCUGUCUCCCACUGCACUCCAGCCCAUGGACUUCACUUCCCUGGCCUUUAGCUGAGAGGAUUACAACCGGUGCUCCCAACCCCGGUGACUCAGCAGGCCAACACCUUUUGCACACUACAGUGGUUUGAUUACUUUUUGGUCAUUUUGUUGUCUUUGUUUGUGUUUAAUACUCACCCUUAUUU